rnacentral:rRNA from 1 species
CACAUCGGACAUUGUGGGCAACCCUGAUCAAGCCCUGCCGCGUGUGUGUAGAACGUCAUCGGAGUGUUAAGUACUUUAUGUUGGGAGGACGGGCUUUACGUAAUUACCCUGCAGUUUUGACGUUAUGAACCGAAUAAGUACCGGCCAGCUCUGUCUCAGCGGCCGCGGUAUUCCCGAGGGUGCAAGCGUUAAGCGGAAUUACUGGGGGUAAAGCGCGCGUGGGUAGUUCAGUACGAUGGGUGUGAAAUCCCCGGGCUUAACCUGGGAACUGCUUUCAUAACUGCUGGGCUAGAGUACGGUAGAGGGUAGUGGAAUUUCCUGUGUAGCGGUGAAAUGCGUAGAUAUAGGAAGGAACACCAGUGGCGAAGGCAACCACCUGGGCUAAUACUGACACUGAGGUGCGAAAGCGUGGGGAGCAAAC